CGAGCCCGAGUGCUCUGUUCUUCCCACUUUCCCCUUUCCUCUGUUUUCUUCCUCUUCCUCUCGAGCUCACACUCCAUUUUUGCUAAAAUUUGUGAAGAUUUGAAGGCAUCCCAUCCAUCCAAGUGAUCACAAAGGUGUGGUUUACUUAGUGUCUUCCCGUCUCCGUCCUAACCACCGUCGACCGCCCGCACCGUCCUGUCGCCGGCACCACUUUGUGUGCCAUGGUUUUCAUAUCCGUCCCCGCCGGCCCUCGUCCGGGUUAUGAUUCAGAUGUGGUAUAUUAUCUUUUAUAACUAUUUGUUGCAUUUCGUGUUUAUGACAAAUUAUGCCCAUCAAGUUGACAUAGAUAUUUUUAUCUAGGAGGUAUGCGAACCGGAAAUUCCA